GAUAUACCCACUUUACCCUGUCUUUUUCUUGUUUCUUUUUUUUUUUUUUUUUUUUUGUAUCCCAUAAUUUAAUUUGCACUACUUAAAUAAUUUACUAGCUAUUAGGUCGUAUCUUAAUCAAAUACUCCAUAAAGACUUAUAAAAUCGUGUUACUAAUAAAGCUCUUUCGUAAUUAAAUAAUUUAUUUUCUGUUUAGAAAGAAGAACAUGUC
rnacentral:lncRNA from 1 species